UCGGGAAUUUUGGGCAAUGGGCGAAAGCCUGACCCAGCAACGCCGCGUGAGGGAUGAAGUAUUUCGGUAUGUAAACCUCGAAAGAAUGGGAAGAAUAAAUGACGGUACCAUUUAUAAGCUCCGGCUAACUACGUGCCAGCAGCCGCGGUAAUACGUAGGGAGCAAGCGUUGUUCGGAUUUACUGGGCGUAAAGGGCGCGUAGGCGGCGCGGUAAGUCACUUGUGAAAUCUCUGAGCUUAACUCAGAACGGCCAAGUGAUACUGCUGUGCUAGGGUGCGGAAGAGGCAACCGGAAUUCUUGGUGUAGCGGUGAAAUGCGUAGAUAUCAAGAGGAACACCUGAGGCGAAGGCGGGUUGCUGGGCCGACACUGACGCUGAUGCUCGAAAGCCAGGGGAGCAAACG
rnacentral:rRNA from 1 species